AAUUUUAUGCCUAGUGGUUAAGGUUUUUGAUUCUAACGUAAAGGGGUCGUGGGUUCGAGUCCGGUUGGGGCCG